rnacentral:rRNA from 1 species
UACAGAGGUCCCGAGCGUUGUUCGGAUUCAUUGGGCGUAAAGCGCGUGUAGGCAGCUCAGAAAGUCGGAUGUGAAAGCCCUGGGCUUAACCUAGGAAGUGCAUUCGAAACUUCUGAGCUUGAGUUCUGGAGAGGAAGGCGGAAUUCUCGGUGUAGAGGUGAAAUUCGUAGAUAUCGAGAGGAACACCGGUGGCGAAGGCGGCCUUCUGGACAGUGACUGACGCUGAGACGCGAAAGCGUGGGGAGCAAACAGG